GAGGAAAGUCCGGGCUCCAUAGGGCAGGGUGCCAGGUAACGCCUGGGGGGGAAACCCACGACCAGUGCAACAGAGAGCAAACCGCCGAUGGCCCGCGCAAGCGGGAUCAGGUAAGGGUGAAAGGGUGCGGUAAGAGCGCACCGCGCGGCUGGUAACAGUCCGUGGCACGGUAAACUCCACCCGGAGCAAGGCCAAAUAGGGGUUCACAUGGUACGGCCCGUACUGAACCCGGGUAGGCUGCUUGAGCCAGCGCGCGAGCUCUGGCCUAGAUGAAUGACUGUCCACGACAGAACCCGGCUUA
rnacentral:RNase_P_RNA from 1 species